rnacentral:piRNA from 1 species
UAAACUCAAUUGUAUGACUUGGGGCAAU